GUCAAUUAUCACUCGACUUAUACAUGCAAGUCUCCGCACCCCAGUGAAAACGCCCUCAACCCCCUCAUGGGGCCGAGGAGCUGGUAUCAGGCUCAACUUCCUGCCUAAAACAUCUAGCCCCGCCACACCCACAAGGGCCCUUGCAGCAGUGAUUAAUCUUGAAUAUAAGCGUCAGCUUGAUUCAGUUAGAGUGAAAAUGGAGCUGGCAAAGUUAGUGCCAGUCGCCUCGGAUAUACUACAUCAGCCCAAAUUGACUUACUUCGGCGUAAAGCGUGAUCAAAUAUACUAAUACACUAGAGUUAAACUAGACAACUGUCCAAUAGGAAUCUCAACCACGAAAGUAACUCUACUCCACUUUGACUUCACGACAACUAGGACCCAAACUGGGAAUAGGAACCCCACUAUGCCUAGUCGUAAACUUUAACUUACACCACAACCGCCCGGGAACUACGAGCAAAGCUUAAAACCCAAGGGACUUGACGGUGACCCACAGACCCUAGAGGAGCCUGUCCUAUAAUCGAUGAUCCGCGUUAAACCUCACCAUUUCUAGCUUAUCAACCCGUAUACCUCCGUCGUCAGCCGUCCACCUGAGUGCAAUAAAGCGAAGCUCAAUGUUCCCAAGCUACACUUAAGCUGGUUAGAUCUAAUACAUCUAUAUAAACAAUACGUCAGGUCAAGGUGCCGUCAAUGAAAUGGGAAGAGAUGGGCUACACUUUCUAAUAUAGAAAACCGAAAGACACCCUGAAACUGGUGUCAGAAGAAGGAUUUAGGAGUAAAACAACUAUAGAAUGGUUUUUUUAACCUGUUCAUUGGGUCGUGUACUAACCGCC
rnacentral:ncRNA from 1 species